GCUGUCUGACGGAGGCGGGUGAACCGGACACACCGCCGGGCGGGCGGACACUCCUCCACCGACCCACCGGCCUGACUUCCCGGGGAGUUGUGUGUUAGUCGUAGCGGCCCGGUGGCGCACGGAGAGCGGGUUGAAGCUCUGAACUGACGGUAGAGACGCUACAGCAGCAGCUCAACUACACACACAGGACUUAGCAGGCCACCGUACCAGGCCGGUCUGGGUGCUGCACCUGUCAAAUUGACACCUGAUGGAUGAAAGACAGCAACACCUGGAUGAGAGGAGCGUAGAGGAGGCGACCACGGCGAGGACAGGGGUUUGCCCAGGACGCCGAGGAGGCCACCGAAGAAUUACCGGACGAGUGACGUGACUCAUAACUGCUGAACGUCUGCUGAGGAAGAGGAGGAGAGGAGGGUUACACUUUAAUGAAGAAGAGGGUGUUAAACUGUGGAUGUGGAUCAGAUCAGAGAGCCCCCCCAGGAUUUCCUCCAUGUCAACUCACCUGCAUCCCGACGACGGCGUAGAUGAAGAAGAUCAAGGCGAUGAGCAGAGCGACGUACGGCAGAGCCUGAAGACACACAGGAGGAGGUUAUGACCCGCCCUACCCUAACCCCAACCAAUCUCACCAACCAAGGCAAUUAGGUCUAGCCACAGAGGAGGGCGGGUCACGCUUCGCCUUAGCAGGAUUCAUGGGCUGCGGUCAAAAAGUAAAAAAAUGGCAUCCUAAUGACUUUUCCCAACCACUUCUCCUUGACCUCGAUGGUAAACAUCAUGAGGUCAAGGAAAGGUGUAAACGAGAAUUCAUUAAGGAUUUUGGAAAAGACAAUGGUGUUAAGAGAGUCCGACUGCACUUGCUACUAGGCUACUUAAUUAUGAUGUUAUGAUGCAUGUCCACCGUGGUGAAACUACAACGUUCCAAAGAUGAACUACAAAAGGUGCUGCUUCCCCUCGUGCGUUCUUAAAACCCCCCUCCAGCCAGUUUUACUUCCUGUUUUUUGGUUAACGUUCAGACCCGUUAGGAACCUUCCUAAGAGGAAAAAGACUAUUCGACUGCAGCCGAGGAUUCAUAAUAAUACAGCGUGCCCUGUCAGCCCCGCCC